CACGCAGCAAAAACAACUCCUCCUCAGAGGAAAACAAACUGACAGUUAAAGACAGACAGCGUUUGGAAAUAUGACAGUUAUUAAGGGUUUUUAAACUGGUGUUCUAGGAGGGAGGGAAAUAAAACAGUCAAACUAAGUCCAUAAAACAGGGGUUUUUUCUUCACACUCGGUGUAUGAAUGUUACAGUUAUUGGGUCAGACAGUGUAUGAAUGUGACAGUUAUUGGAUCAGACAGUGUAUGAAUAUGACAGUUAUUGGGUCAGACAGUGUAUGAAUGUGACAGUUAUUGGAUCAGACAGUGUAUGAAUGUGACAGUUAUUGGAUCAGACAGUGUAUGAAUGUGACAGUUAUUGGGUCAGACAGUGUUUGAAUAUGACAGUUAUUGGGUCAGACAGGGCCGCCAUCAGGGCAUGACAACCGCAACGGUUGUCAUG